GAGUGGCGCACGGGUGCGUAACACGUAUGUAACCUACCUUUAUCAGGGGGAUAGCCUCUCGAAAGAGAGAUUAACACCGCAUAAAAUCACAGAACGGCAUCGUUUAAUGAUCAAAUAUUUAUAGGAUAAAGAUGGGCAUGCGGGACAUUAGCUAGAUGGUGAGGUAACGGCUCACCAUGGCCAUGAUGUCUAGGGGAUCUGAGAGGAUGGCCCCCCACACUGGUACUGAGACACGGACCAGACUCCUACGGGAGGCAGCAGUAAGGAAUAUUGGUCAAUGGACGGAAGUCUGAACCAGCCAUGCCGCGUGCAGGAAGACGGCCCUACGGGUUGUAAACUGCUUUUGUACCGGAAUAAACCUCUUUACGUGUAAGGAGCUGAAUGUACGGUAAGAAUAAGGAUCGGCUAACUCCGUGCCAGCAGCCGCGGUAAUACGGAGGAUCCAAGCGUUAUCCGGAUUUAUUGGGUUUAAAGGGUGCGUAGGCGGCCUGUUAAGUCAGAGGUGAAAGGCGGUAGCUUAACUAUCGGAGUGCCUUUGAUACUGACGGGCUUGAAUGCAGCUGAGGUAGGCGGAAUGUGACAAGUAGCGGUGAAAUGCAUAGAUAUGUCACAGAACACCGAUUGCGAAGGCAGNUUACUAAAGUG
rnacentral:rRNA from 1 species